rfam:Onchocerca volvulus assembly O_volvulus_Cameroon_v3 genomic scaffold, OVOC_OM3
GAGAUCAUACUUCACAGAAUCAUUUCUGUAGUAUGCAUUUCUUCGCUAUCAGCGAAAUUGCGACGGAGCGCAGCCGCGAUGAUGUGGCAUGGCGUCAUCUCCAGAGCGGGAAGAAGUGUCUCGUCCUGACUCUCAGAGUUCCAGGCUUGACGCUUGAUGACUGCAUGGAGAACCUUGAAUAAAGGUUUUCCUGAAGGAGUUGACGCGUGCUGAGCGGU